rnacentral:sRNA from 1 species
GUUUUGCGUGAGGGAGUGAAGUGGAAAUCCUUUUUUAUUUUAUGUUGCGUAGCAGAAUAAAAUUAAAAAGAUUGUAACGAAAAGCCCGACCCGAA